GGCCCCAUAGCUUAGUGGUUAGAACAUUAGCCUAGACAGCAAAAGGUUCCCGGUUCAUGCCCGGGUGGAGGCA
rnacentral:tRNA from 1 species